rnacentral:tRNA from 1 species
CAUUAGAUGACUGAAAGCAAGUACUGGUCUCUUAAACCACAUUAUGGUAAUUUAGCAUUUACCUCUAAUGA